CGAGGAUUAGGCUAGCGACCUCCCCCAGUCAGCUGCCUGUGGCUGCUCGUGAAACAGACGCUGUUUUCGCCAAGGCUGGAUGCAACCACCUGAAAACUGUCAAUAAACCAACCUUCGGCCUUUUAGCAUCAAACUUGGACAACAUCCCAGCCGAGGCUAGAAGCGUAGGUAAUAUGUUUAUCACUCAAAUCUAGACGAAGGGUGGCCGAGAAGUUGCUGGAGACGAAGCUCGGGCACUAAUUAACAAGGGCGAGACUGAUGAAGAUUGACAAUCUGAAGCUUAUCCUAAUAGUUAUGAAGAAUGCUUUCGAGGCUAUCUUGUAAUUUUGCCAGUAGUCCUGAAAGAUGCUCUUAGAGCUCUUUUUUUGUAAAUGAAAAACAUUAUAUUCGGCAAAUAAAUGUCGAAGAAUGUAAUAUCUUUGUAAACAUCUAUGAAUACCUUGCAGUAUUACCUUUCUUCUGUU